UACAGAGGUGGCAAGCGUUGUUCGGAAUUACUGGGCGUAAAGGGCGCGUAGGCGGCCUUCUAAGUCAGACGUGAAAUCCCUCGGCUUAACCGGGGAACUGCGUCUGAUACUGGAUGCUUGAGGCCGGGGAGAGGUGAGUGGAAUUCCCAGUGUAGCGGUGAAAUGCGUAGAUAUUGGGAGGAACACCAGUGGCGAAGGCGGCUCACUGGACCGGUUCUGACGCUGAAGCGCGAAAGCGUGGGGAGCAAACGGG
rnacentral:rRNA from 1 species